rnacentral:rRNA from 1 species
CAAGUCGAACGCGAAAGUUCCCUUCGGGGAGCGAGUAGAGUGGCGCACGGGUGAGUAACACGUAGGUAAUCUACCUUUGGAUGGGGAAUAACAACCGGAAACGGUUGCUAAUACCGCAUAAUGCAGCGGCACCUAAUGGUGACAGUUGUUAAAGCGGGGGAUCGAAAGACCUCGCGUCUGAAGAGGAGCCUGCGGCGGAUUAGCUAGUUGGUAAGGUAACGGCUUACCAAGGCGAUGAUCCGUAACCGGCCUGAGAGGGCGGUCGGUCACACUGACACUGACAUACGGGUCAGACUCCUACGGGAGGCAGCAGUCGGGAAUUUUGGGCAAUGGGCGAAAGCCUGACCCAGCAACGCCGCGUGAAGGAUGAAAUCCCUCGGGAUGUAAACUUCGCAAGAACGGGAAGAAUAAGUUGGUGUGAAUAUCACCAGCGAUGACGGUACCGUUUGUAAGCUCCGGCUAACUCCGUGCCAGCAGCCGCGGUAAUACGGGGGGAGCAAGCGUUGUUCGGAUUUACUGGGCGUAAAGGGCGCGUAGGCGGCCACUGCAAGUCGGUUGUGAAAUCUCCGGGCUUAACCCGGAAAGGUCAAUCGAUACUGCAGGGCUAGAGUGCAGAAGGGGCAACUGGAAUUCUCGGUGUAGCGGUGAAAUGCGUAGAUAUCGAGAGGAACACCUGCGGCGAAGGCGGGUUGCUGGGCUGACACUGACGCUGAAGCGCGAAAGCUAGGGGAGCGAACGGGAUUAGAUAUCCCGGUAGUCCUAGCCUUAAACGAUGAAUGCUUGGUGUCUGGGGUUUUAUAGUCCCCGGGUGCCGUC